GAUGAACGCUAGCGGCAGGCUUAAUACAUGCAAGUCGUGGGGCAGCAUGAAUGUAGCAAUACAUUUGAUGGCGACCGGCAAACGGGUGCGGAACACGUACACAACCUUCCUAUAAGUGGGGAAUAGCCCAGAGAAAUUUGGAUUAAUACCCCGUAACAUAACGAUGUGGCAUCACAUUGUUAUUAUAGCUUCGGCGCUUAUUGAUGGGUGUGCGGCUGAUUAGAUAGUUGGCGGGGUAACGGCCCACCAAGUCUACGAUCAGUAGCGGAUGUGAGAGCAUGAUCAGCAACACGGGCACUGAGACACGGGCCCGACUCCUACGGGAGGCAGCAGUAAGGAAUAUUGGUCAAUGGACGCAAGUCUGAACCAGCCAUGCCGCGUGAAGGAUUAAGGUCCUCUGGAUUGUAAACUUCUUUUAUCUGGGACGAAAAAAGGCUUUUCUAAGUCACUUGACGGUACCAGAUGAAUAAGCACCGGCUAACUCCGUGCCAGCCGCCGCAGUAACAC
rnacentral:rRNA from 1 species